GUCUCCGCUCGGAUUAUCAAACAUUUCGGGGUGAAGCACCUCUCCAGCGGCGACCUGCUGAGGGACAACAUGCAGAAGAAGACAGGCUUGUGGGCUUUUCUUUUGGCUUGCUGGAGGUCGGAGGUAGUGUAAUGCAACUUCUCUUACUUCCGCAGAAGUUGGAAUCCUUGCAAAGUCCUACAUUGAUCAAGGGCGGCUUAUUCCAGAUGACAUCAUGACGCGACUAAUGCUGAAUGAGCUAAAAGGUCUAGAUCGGUACAACUGGCUAUUGGACGGUAAGUGAGCAUAUUGGAUAUCACUAAUAUGGAGAGAAAAUCUGCACUGAAAAGCUUGGAGUGCUUUAGUCACUUGUGGGUAACUACACUCCGGUAGCCAUCCUCGAGUCGUAGUAACUGGACAGUAUGUGUUGCCAGCUUCUUGUGAAACCUUCAGCAGCUAGUCUGCCCCAGUUUCUUUGGCUGUAAAAUGCUUUGGGUGCCUUCUGCCUUCAGGGCAUUGCAGGGAUGUUUAAUUCAUAUUGAAAAGGGUAGUUCAGCACUCCAGUAAAUUUUCAAAACUGGCAAUUCUGGUAAUUCUUAUGCUUUAUCUCCCCUUUAAAAUACGCAUUGAAAAGUUUCUUUUUUUAAAGCCUUUUCUUGUUAAAGUCCUUGGGGAAUGGAACACUUUUGAAGAAUGGGGCUGAGGAAUUAUUUAAAUAGAAAGGUAGGUAUGUGGUGCAGCAACAAGGUAAGUAUGGAAAGCAAGUACUGCAGCAGUGCAGUGUGUUACAAAUCACUAACAAAACCACUGCUUAAGUGCUAUGAAAGGUCUCUUUCAUUUGCUUUUUGGUUCUGUUCUCUAGAGUGAAUUGUUCUGCGAUUCUGCAGUGGAAGCUCACUGCUUUAGCAUUCACAGUAGAGAGAAAAUGCAUUUGCUGCUGUCUUCAUGAACUGAAUGGCUCCUGUUACCCCAGCCCAUGGGAGUAUGGUUGGAUGCACAGGACAGAGAUAGCGCCUAGGCUGGACGUGUGUGUUUUUUCGGAUUCUAGUCACAACCUGUCUCCUUAGAUAAAACUAAACAGUUGUCGGUGUGGCUUUUGAUCAGAGGGAGUGAAAAAUCCCCAGUGCUCUCUGUCCCUUAGUGCUUUAUUAUAAAUAUUUCUAGUACAGCGAUCUGUCUUGGUGGCUUUAGUCACAGUUAUGUUCCUCCUUAGUGAAGACGAAGGCCUAAUUCCCACAGUGAACAACAGCACAAUGAAACCGAAUCAGUAAAGGAAGGAGCUACAGAUGUUUGUUUGUUUGUUUUUUCUUUAGUUCCAGGCCCUGUGUACACAGUUCCAGCCUUGUGGAUCUGGAUGUGUAGCAGUAUAGCUGGCCACACUGGCAACUCUUAACAGGAGGAUGGUGUGGAGACUGUAAGAGAAUAAAUCAAUUUUGGCUGCAUGUUAACGUGCUGCCUUCUUUACACUUUUGGAGCAGAAAUUUUGUCUGCAUCAGCAUCAGUAAUGAGAGUCAGUGAAUUACACUAGGGAUAGUUCUGGCAUAAUCAGCUGUGUAGGAACAAUAUUGUUCUGUUGAAAUACGUUAACAGAAAGUCAUUAGUUUGGUAACUGCAACUCAGAACAAACAGCUGAGGUCAGCUAGGUCAAACUAAAUAGAGUUGCUGAGCUGCUUGAAUGCUCACUUAGCUAAAUACCCAUUUCCACUCUGCCUUAUGGUAGGUUAGUGGCCUCUGGAGUCAUAGCAGAUGUAGCAGUCUGAGUUGUGUGUGUGGGUAUGAUCUGCUUAGAUUUAUGUGCUGUAUAAUUGGGGCACUUUUUUCUGCAUUCAUGGAUUCUUCACAAUUCGUAUCCUGUAGAUUAUUUUUUCUGUAUCAAGAAAACGCUGUAUGCAGCAAACGCUGGUUCAGUUUCCAUGAAAUGCUUUUGUAAAGGCACUUUGUUAAGGAAGUUUCUCACUACUUACUCCCAAAGCAAACUCAUUUUCCAGCUGCAUAACUAAGAUGUAUGGUGGCUUGUCAAUAGGAAGAACAGCAGCACUGGAAUCCUGUCUCUCCCUCUGCUCUUAACAUUUAGAAGUGCUUCCAUGAGAUAGUGUGAACAUGAGAGAAACAGGAUGAGGGCAGUUGAUGUCUGUGAUGCAAAUCAGGUGCAUCAGACUUAAUGCACAAGUAAGAGCUUAGUCUGAGUUAAUCAACUCUUUCCUUUUGUGAUGUGUUAGACAAGACACAGUAGCCUUAUGACCAUACUUUUUUUUUCCUGUUUUAAGACUAGUUCUUGGCUGGUUCCUUCCUCAGGCAAUGGACUCCUCAACAAAUGUUAUGCAAGGAAGAGUUUCUAAAGUUGGUACCUAUCAGUACUUGCCUUUAUGGAGAAGUUACUUAUAUAGUAUGAUGAAAAUUACAAGCUACUGAAGAACACGAGACUGUGCAAGAGCUUUGUGGGUAGAGGCAUUAUUCCAAUGAAUCUGUCGUGAAGUAGCAUGUUCUGCAGUAGCUUUGAUUGUUAAAGUUCUUGUGGUCAAUUUUUCAUUUUAAAUUCUUUGUGGAGACCUUGGGUUUCUUGAUCUCUAUUUUGCUCCCCCCUCCCUGUUCCUCUGCCCACCCAAAGUCUCCAUCCCCGAGGAUAGUUUCAUACACUAGACUUUCCAGAACUCUUUCUAAAGCUAAUCUUUUAUGUAAAAUUAAUCCUGGACUGCCCCUGGUGGAUAUACUGGGCUUACUGCAACUGAAUAAAAUAGAUUUGUAAUGGUCAGCUCCUUAAGCCAGACUUAACACAACUGGAAGUAAGAGUUGUCACAGAUGUUUCUACGUUGUUCCAGACCUCUGAGUGAACUGCCUGUAGCUUUUAUUGUUCGAAAUGUGUAUACAAUGCUUUUAUUCAAUAUAGUGGUAUGUAGUACAUGAGAGUAUGGAGUCUUUUUGCAUUUGCUUGUUACACUUUUGGGAAGAUGAUUAACUGAAAUGAGGAAAUCGAAGCUGGGAGGCAUUUGACAAGUUAAAGUGUCAUGACACUGAAAAAUACUUGGAAAAUCUGAUGUCUCUUCAACCUUUACAGUAUGAGAAAUUUUUUUUUUUUUCUAUCUGAUAAUUAUUUUCUCUAAUGACUGAUUCCAGGUAAUUCCCACUAUAACUCUGCCUUUGGAUUUUUAUGGAGUUGUUUCCUUUAAAAAGGUUUCCCCAGAACGGUUGCUCAGGCAGAAGCCCUGGAUAAAGAAUGCCAGAUAGACACUGUAAUUGACCUAGACGUGCCAUUUGAGACCAU